CAAUCCGAAGACGUGAUGCGGACCGAAUUAAGAGUAGGGAAGUGUGUGAGCCAUGCGUCAAGAAAAGCCGCUAUUGUUUUACUUAAGCCCGUACCGUAAACCGACACAGGUGGAUGAGGAGAGAAUCCUAAGGCCGACGGGAGAAGCAUUGUUAAGGAACUCGGCAAAAUGACUCCGUAACUUCGGGAGAAGGAGUGCCAGCGAGAGCUGGCCGCAGAGAAUUGGCCCAAGCAACUGUUUAGCAAAAACACAGGUCUAUGCAAAACCGUAAGGUGAAGUAUAUGGGCUGACGCCUGCCCGGUGCUGGAAGGUUAAGAGGAGAGGUUAGCGGUAACGCGAAGCUUUGAAUUUAAGCCCCAGUAAACGGCGGCCGUAACUAUAACGGUCCUAAGGUAGCGAAAUUCCUUGUCGGGUAAGUUCCGACCCGCACGAAAGGCGUAAUGAUUUGGGCACUGUCUCAACAAUGCACCCGGUGAAAUUGAAAUACCAGUGAAGAUGCUGGUUACCUGCGCCAGGACGGAAAGACCCCAUGGAGCUUUACUCCAGCUUGAUACUGGGAUUCGGUAUUGCAUGUACAGGAUAGGUGGGAGGCUAGGAAGUGAUAACGCCAGUUGUCACGGAGCCGCUGUUGGGAUACCACCCUUGCAGUAUUGGAUUUCUAACCAGCGACCAUGAACUGGUCGGGGGACAAUGUCAGGUGGGGAGUUUGACUGGGGCGGUCGCCUCCGAAAGGGUAUCGGAGGCGCUCAAAGGUUCCCUCAGAAUGGACGGAAACCAUUCGAAGAGUGCAAAGGCAGAAGGGAGCUUGACUGCGACACCGACGGGUGGAGCAGGUACGAAAGUAGGACUUAGUGAUCCGGUGGUAUAAAGUGGGAUUGCCAUCGCUCAACGGAUAAAAGCUACCCUGGGGAUAACAGGCUUAUCACUCCCAAGAGUUCACAUCGACGGAGUGGUUUGGCACCUCGAUGUCGGCUCAUCGCAUCCUGGGGCUGAAGUAGGUCCCAAGGGUUGGGCUGUUCGCCCAUUAAAGCGGUACGCGAGCUGGGUUCAGAACGUCGUGAGACAGUUCGGUCCCUAUCCGGCGUGGGCGUAGGAUAUUUGAGAGGAGCUGUCCUUAGUACGAGAGGACCGGGAUGGACUGGCCGCUGGUGUAUCUGUUGCAUACCAAAUGCAUGGCAGAGUAGCCAAGCCGGGACGGGAUAAACGCUGAAGGCAUCUAAGCGUGAAGCCCCCCUCAAGAUGAGAUAUCCCUACGUAAGUAGUAAGACCCCUUGAAGACGACGAGGUAGAUAGGUCAGAGGUGGAAGUACAGUAAUGUAUGGAGCUGACUGAUACUAAUCGGUCGAGGGCAUGACCAAG
rnacentral:rRNA from 1 species